AUACUUACCUGACAGAGGAGAUACCGUGAUCAAGAAGGUGGCUCACCUUGGGCGAGGCCUGACCAUUGCACUCCGGUUGGGUUGACUUUAACUGGCGGGCUAGUGGACUGUGCAGUAUGGACAGCAGCAGCAGCCUGUUU
rnacentral:snRNA from 1 species